ACCGGAGAGCUUUGCCUCAUGGACUUUCCUUGGAUCCUUUCAAGAAAAACUCUAAGCAUUCAGUCAGCAUUUGAAAUAUACCAGUGAGAAUCACAAUUAUCGAUUUCUCUGUUUCUUCUGAUAGCCACUGUUAACGACACUUUCUUCAGGGAUAAAUUUCACACUACCAGUUUUAGCUACAAGAAAAACUGAAACAUCAACUAUCGGAAGAAAUGAUAACAAUACCGCCAGGAUCAGCUCACUGCAAUCUUUCUUAUCUCCUGGGCUGGAAAUAGCUGCAGCUCUUAUCUAGACUAACAUUCUGCUGAUAGCAACGAGGGUAGUCACUGACUGGGUACUGAGGACCUACUAACUCUAUGCACCAGGCUCCCUUACCUCAGCUGUGCAGCUCCUCUCAGCCACCCAAGCCUUCCCGACUCCAUCUGCACAUACUGUAUUGUCUACAAUACAGCGAGCAACUUUACAUGAAUGGUGGCAGACUAUACAUACUGCUCUGCAACUCACUUUUUUCUUUUAACAAAAUAACUCGAAGAGUUGUUUCAUUUUGGUAUGUCAUAAGCCCACCUCCUUUUUAUUAGAUGAAAAAUAUUUCAUUGUAUGAACACACUAUAAUGUAGUUUUUCAGCCCUGGAAGAAAACAUAUUUUAGUCACUCAAUCUUAGCAACGUAUAUGACCCCACGCAGGCACCGGUUGACGCUGUAAGGCAGUGAGAUUCUGCUACCCAGAAACCUCAGAGUUGCCGCUGGGAUCUGAGUGGAGGAUCACACAAAAUUUGUGGGUUAAAUUCUUUUUUCUGGUGUACAUAAGAAUAUGUGAGCACAAGUAUAAAAAGGCCAGACGUCAUCAUCAGGUGGCAGUGUGCUCGCUACUUCUGGUGGUGUGCUGACAUCCGACUGCCAGGCCAUCUCUGUCAAACCACUGAAGGAAGGCAUGGGAACCGGAAGUGAGAAGGCCUCUCAUGACGCCAUCUGGUGAGACCGGGACAGUGCAAGGACGGGAACCUGCGCGCGGCCUCAGUGCUGCUGAAGAAACCAAGGAAGGCUGUGUCAUCAAAGCCACCCACUCUCUUUCCGGCCAAAGGACAAUUGUCCACGUAGGAGGGACACACAACUGGUCUGAUGACUAAAUCAAAAGCUGAUCCAGAAGAGCCAGGGUUUUUAAGUGUGAGAGUGUGAACACACAAGUGCUAUUGUAUUUAUCUGCAGGUCUGAACACUUUCUUUGGCCUAAAGAAAAAUAAGUGAGACAAUUCAUUUCCAGGACUAUACAGAUGCAGUUAUUUGGACCCAACCCUGGAACAGAAUAUUUUAAAAAUCUUUUGGAAAGCUUAAAAAAGAGGGAAUGAGAUUAGGUUCUCCAAACACUAUUUAAUGUAAAGGGAUCAAUAACCCUAACAGAUGAGUCCAACUCUCUGCUGUUAUCCCAGCCCUACAGUUUAUUCUACCACAGAGAGAUGUAGACCAGAGCAAUAUAGGAGGAAUUUGACAUCCUGCAAUCAGUCGGUGUAAUUUGGGAGAGGAUGUCUUUUAACUGACAUAUCAAGGACAGAGGUCAGUGAGAUACUAAACAUCUAUAAUGCAUGAGCAGCUUCCUUUCUGGAAAUGAUCCUGACGAAGCAGCGUCACUUCUGAUGCUGAGAGAACCCGCUGGAAGGAGGAUCACAGGAUUGUAACAGGAAAGACAGGAGAUCUUAUGUGGUACUGGCAGUGUUCAUCUUCUUCAAUCUAAUUGUUGUUACAGGGAUAUUUGCUCUAUAACCCUAUGUAUGUGUGAGUGUGUGCUUAAUUCACUUUUGUGUAUGUAUAUUUCACGCUACAAUGCAAAGAACU
rnacentral:lncRNA from 1 species